CAGACGUAUCUCGGCAAAUCCCUGAG
rnacentral:rRNA from 1 species